AGCAGGCGCGCAAAUUACCCAAUCCCGACACGGGGAGGUAGUGACAAUAAAUAACAAUACGGGGUUCUUUAGGAUCUCGUAAUUGGAAUGAGUACAAUUUAAAUCUCUUAACGAGGAACAAUUGGAGGGCAAGUCUGGUGCCAGCAGCCGCGGUAAUUCCAGCUCCAAUAGCGUAUAUUAAAGUUGUUGCAGUUAAAAAGCUCGUAGUUGAAUUUCGGGGUUAGNAGGUUGGUCAUGCCUCUGGUAUGUACUGGUCUCACUGAUUCCUCCUUCCUUAUGAACCGUAAUGCCAUUAAUUUGGUGUUGCGGGGAAUUUGGACUGUUACUUUGAAAAAAUUAGAGUGUUUAAAGCAAGCUAACGCUUGAAUACAUUAGCAUGGAAUAAUGAAAUAGGACGUUCGAUCUUAUUUUGUUGGUUUCUAGGAUUGACGUAAUGAUUAAUAGGGAUAGUUGGGGGCAUUAGUAUUCAAUUGUCAGAGGUGAAAUUCUUGGAUUUAUUGAAGACUAACUACUGCGAAAGCAUUUGCCAAGGAUGUUUUCAUUAAUCAAGAACGAAAGUUAGGGGAUCGAAGACGAUCAGAUACCGUCGUAGUCUUAACCAUAAACUAUGCCGACUAGGGAUCGGAUGAUGUUAAUUUUUUAAUGACUCAUUCGGCGCCUUACGGGAAACCAAAGUGUUUGGGUUCA
rnacentral:rRNA from 1 species